rnacentral:rRNA from 1 species
CGCGUAGGCGGUGCGGUAAGUCUGAUGUCGAAACCUCCAGGCUCAACUUGGAGCUAGGCAUCAGAAACUGCCGUGCUAGAGUGCGGGAGAGGAGAGUGGAAUUCCUGGUGUAGCGGUGAAAUGCGUAGAUAUCAGGAGGAACACCGGUGGCGAAGGCGGCUCUCUGGACCGCAACUGACGCGUGAGGCGCGAAAGCUAGGGGAGCAAACAGGAUUAGAUACCCUGGUAGUCCUAGCUGUAAACGAUGAACACUUGGUAUAGCGGGUAUCGAAUCCCGCCGCGCCGGAGCUAACGGCAUUAAGUGUUCCGCCUGGGGAGUACGGUCGCAAGGCUGAA